rnacentral:rRNA from 1 species
CAGCCGCCGCGGUAAUACGAAGGGUGCAAGCGUUAAUCGGAAUUACUGGGCGUAAAGCGUGCGUAGGCGGUGAGUUAAGUCUGCUGUGAAAUCCCCGGGCUCAACCUGGGAAUGGCAGUGGAUACUGGCUCGCUAGAGUGUGUCAGAGGAUGGUGGAAUUCCCGGUGUAGCGGUGAAAUGCGUAGAGAUCGGGAGGAACAUCAGUGGCGAAGGCGGCCAUCUGGGACAACACUGACGCUGAGGCACGAAAGCAUGGGGAGCAAACAGGAUUAGAUACCCCCGUAGUCCCUGUCCUUAUACA